rnacentral:lncRNA from 1 species
GACUAACUGUAAGUGUUACUUCUGCAGUUCGGUUCUGGAGGCAUCAGCUGGAGGAGUGAUUGGACUUCCCUUCCUACACACCAGCAAUAAUCGUCUUGCACCAACAGUCCUGGAGAUUUUGAAGUGAAUUGAGGCAUGAAGAGAGAAUCACUCAGCUUUAGUGCUAUGGUCCUCUUGUCCCCUGCUCGUGAGGCAUCCCACAAUGUGAAUUUUACUAAGGUGUGGCAGAGACCAGUUCAUUAUAUGGAACGGAUCAUCAGUUUCCUUUGCUAUCUAAAACUGGUGGCGUAAAAAAGCAAAACACCUCUCGUAAGUGAAUGACAGCUUAUAACAGGGGUGAGUUAGC